UAACACAUGCAAGUCGAACGGAAAGGCCCUGCUUUUGUGGGGUGCUCGAGUGGCGAACGGGUGAGUAACACGUGAGUAACCUGCCCUUGACUUUGGGAUAACUUCAGGAAACUGGGGCUAAUACCGGAUAGGAGCUCCUGCUGCAUGGUGGGGGUUGGAAAGUUUCGGCGGUUGGGGAUGGACUCGCGGCUUAUCAGCUUGUUGGUGGGGUAGUGGCUUACCAAGGCUUUGACGGGUAGCCGGCCUGAGAGGGUGACCGGCCACAUUGGGACUGAGAUACGGCCCAGACUCCUACGGGAGGCAGCAGUGGGGAAUAUUGCACAAUGGGCGGAAGCCUGAUGCAGCAACGCCGCGUGCGGGAUGACGGCCUUCGGGUUGUAAACCGCUUUCGCCUGUGACGAAGCGUGAGUGACGGUAAUGGGUAAAGAAGCACCGGCUAACUACGUGCCAGCAGCCGCGGUGAUACGUAGGGUGCGAGCGUUGUCCGGAUUUAUUGGGCGUAAAGGGCUCGUAGGUGGUUGAUCGCGUCGGAAGUGUAAUCUUGGGGCUUAACCCUGAGCGUGCUUUCGAUACGGGUUGACUUGAGGAAGGUAGGGGAGAAUGGAAUUCCUGGUGGAGCGGUGGAAUGCGCAGAUAUCAGGAGGAACACCAGUGGCGAAGGCGGUUCUCUGGGCCUUUCCUGACGCUGAGGAGCGAAAGCGUGGGGAGCGAACAGGCUUAGAUACCCUGGUAGUCCACGCUGUAAACGGUGGGUACUAGGUGUGGGGUCCAUUCCACGGGUUCCGUGCCGUAGCUAACGCUUUAAGUACCCCGCCUGGGGAGUACGGCCGCAAGGCUAAAACUCAAAGGAAUUGACGGGGCCCCGCACAAGCGGCGGAGCAUGCGGAUUAAUUCGAUGCAACGCGUAGAACCUUACCUGGGUUUGACAUGGAUCGGGAGUGCUCAGAGAUGGGUGUGCCUCUUUUGGGGUCGGUUCACAGGUGGUGCAUGGCUGUCGUCAGCUCGUGUCGUGAGAUGUUGGGUUAAGUCCCGCAACGAGCGCAACCCUUGUUCACUGUUGCCAGCACGUUAUGGUGGGGACUCAGUGGAGACCGCCGGGGUCAACUCGGAGGAAGGUGGGGAUGACGUCAAGUCAUCAUGCCCCUUAUGUCCAGGGCUUCACGCAUGCUACAAUGGCUGGUACAGAGAGUGGCGAGCCUGUGAGGGUGAGCGAAUCUCGGAAAGCCGGUCUCAGUUCGGAUUGGGGUCUGCAACUCGACCUCAUGAAGUCGGAGUCGCUAGUAAUCGCAGAUCAGCAACGCUGCGGUGAAUACGUUCCCGGGGCUUGUACACACCGCCCGUCAAGUCAUGAAAGUUGGUAACACCCGAAGCCGGUGGCCUAACCGUUGUGGGGGAGCCGUCGAAGGUGGGACUGGUGAUUAGGACUAA
rnacentral:rRNA from 1 species